GCCUGGGAUAACUCAGCUGGUAGAACAUGAGACUCUUAAUCUCAGGGUUGCGGGUUCAAGCCCUACAUUGGGCA